CAGCUCAUUGUCCUCUCUGGAAAUCCCAAUUUUCCAUUUUGUUCCUGCUCUGGGAGAGGCCUCCAGGGCUUUGUGGUGUCCCCGUGGCAGGCGCGGGGUCCUGAGGGGUUCCUGACAGUUCCUUGGGAUUCCUGUGGGAUCUUCAUGGUCCUGAGGGAUUCCUGUGGGAUCUUCAUGAUCCUGAGGGGUUCCUGUUGGAUCUUCAUGGUCCUGAGGGAUUCCCUUGUGCUCCUUGAGGUUCCUGUGGGUUUUUCAUGGUCCUGAGGGAUUCCUGUGGGAACUUCAUGGUCCUGAGGGAUUCCCUCGUGCUCCAUGAGGUUCCUGUGGGUUUUUCAUGGUCCUGAGGGAUUCCUGUGGGAACUUCAUGGUCCUGAGGGAUUCCCUUGUGCUCCGUGAGUUUCCUGUGGGAUUUUCAUGGUCCUGAGGGAUUCCUGUGGGAUUUUCAUGGUCCUGAGGGAUUCCCUCGUGCUCCUUGAGGUUCCUGUGGGAUUUUCAUGGUCCUGAGGGAUUCCUGUGGGAACUUCAUGGUCCUGAGGGAUUCCUGUGGGAUUUUCAUGGUCCUGAGGGAUUCCUGUUGGAUCUUCAUGGUCCUGAGGGAUUCCCUUGUGCUCCGUGAGGUUCCUGUGGGGUUUUCAUGGUCCUGAGGGAUUCCUGUGGGAUCUUCAUGGUCCUGAGGGAUUCCUGUGGGAUCUUCAUGGUCCUGAGGGAUUCCCUCAUGCCCCGAGCGAUUCCUGCCCACACCAUGCUGAUUUCUCUGCCAUUCCCAGAUUUCUCUGAAUUCCCGGAUUUCUCCAGAAUUCCCAGAUUUCUCCGGAACUCCCAGAUUUCUCUGCCACUCCCAGAUUUCUCUGCCAUUCCCAGUUUUCCCCGCCAUUCCUGGUUCUCUCUGCCAUUCCUGGAUUUCUCUGAAUUUCCAGAUUUCUCCGUAAUUCCCCAUUUCUCCGGAACUCCCAGCUUUUUCCAGAACUCCCAGAUUUCUCUGCCAUCCCCAGUUUUCCCCGCCAUCCCUGGUUUUCUCUGAAUUCCCAGAUUUCCCUUGAACUCCCGGAUUUCUCCGGCAUCCCCAGGAAUCCCAGUUUUUCUGUGCAUCCCGGUUCCCCCCAGCAUUCCCAGUUUUUCUCGGUGUUCCCGGUUUUGUAGGAAUCCCAGUUUUUCUCUGCAUCCCAGUUUUCCCCCAGCGUUCCCAGUUUUUCCCGGUGCUCCCGGUUCCCCCCGCUGUUCCCAGUUCCCCGCACCGUUCCC
rnacentral:lncRNA from 1 species